UACGUAGGGUGCAAGCGUUAAUCGGAAUUACUGGGCGUAAAGGGCGCGUAGGCGGCGAUCCCUAGUCAGAUGUGAAAGUCCUGGGCUUAACCUGGGGACUGCAUUUGAUACUGGAUUGCUUGAAUUCGGGAGAGGAUAGCGGAAUUCCCCAGUGUAGAGGUGAAAUUCGUAGAUAUUGGGAAGAACACCGGUGACGAAGGCGGCUAUCUGGACCGACAUUGACGCUGAGGCGCGAAAGCGUGGGGAGCAAACAGG
rnacentral:rRNA from 1 species